GUGUAGACCACCAUGAGCCCCACGGGCCGAGCCCCUGAGGGUCUUUAGAGGCCCUCACCUCAGGAGAGCUGUGUAUGGCUACGGCUCGCACAUCAUUGGUGUGGAUCCUUACAGACAAAUUCAUUUGUUCAACAGAUAGUUAUUGUAUGCCAGGCUGGUCAUAGUUAAAAGCAGCCUAAUAUCGCAGAAGACCUGGACAUCCUUGACCCUGAGUGAUUGCUUAAUAAAGUGCUUGUUACCAAAAUACAUCCUUUGCCUUUAGAAAAGCUGCAAGAAGAAGAAACUAAGGCUGAGAAAAAGAGCUCUUUUGCAGACCUAGGAUCAUCUGAGUCCCAAGUCUCUGCUUUUUCUGUUCCAGAAACUGAUUGGGCCUUUGUGAGAUGACCUCCUCUCUUCUUGAGGCCCUUUCAACUGCAGUUUCCCAUCCAAAAAAGAAAAGAAAGAUCCAGUCCCCAAAUGGUGUCCUUACUGAAGAUGUCUCCAAAGAGGA